CCUACGGGAGGCAGCAGUGGGGAAUAUUGGGCAAUGGGCGCAAGCCUGACCCAGCAACGCCGCGUGAAGGAAGAAGGCUUUCGGGUUGUAAACUUCUUUUCUCAGGGACGAAGCAAGUGACGGUACCUGAGGUAUAAGCCACGGCUAACUACGUGCCAGCAGCCGCGGUCAUACGUAGGUGGCAGGCGUUAUCCGGAUUUACUGGGUGUAAAGGGCGUGUUGGCGGGACUGCAAGUCAGAUGGGAAAACCAUGGGCUCAACCUAUGGCCUGCCUUUGAAACUGUAGUUCUUGAGUACUGGAGAGGCAGACGGAAUUCCUAGUGUAGCGGUGAAAUGCGUAGAUAUUAGGAGGAACACCAGUGGCGAAGGCGGUCUGCUGGACAGCAACUGACGCUGAGGCGCGAAAGCGUGGGGAGCAAACAGGAUUAGAUACCCCAGUAGUC
rnacentral:rRNA from 1 species